AAAACAUCGCCUCUUGAUAAAAUAUAAGAGGUCCAGCCUGCCCGGUGAUAUAAUUUAACGGCCGCGGUAUACUGACCGUGCGAAGGUAGCAUAAUCACUUGUUCUUUAAAUGGGGACUAGUAUGAAUGGCACCACGAGGGCUUUACUGUCUCCUUUCUUCAAUCAGUGAAACUGACCUCCCUGUGAAGAGGCAGGGAUACUACUAUAAGACGAGAAGACCCCAUGGAGCUUUAAACCCAACAACAGCCCAAACACCUACCCCCUCAAAGUUUUUAAAGUUUUGUUAGUUGGUUUUAGGUUGGGGUGACCGCGGAGUACAAACCACCCUCCACGACGAAUGGGCCUACCCCCUUACCCAAGAAUUACACCUCUAAGGAUUAACACAUUAACGUAAAAUGAUCCAAAUAUUUGAUCAACGAACCAAGUUACCCUGGGGAUAACAGCGCAAUCCAUUUUUAGAGCCCCUAUCGACAAAUGGGUUUACGACCUCGAUGUUGGAUCAGGGUAUCCCGGAGGUGCAGCCGCUUCCAAUGGUUUGUUUGUUCAACAAUUAAAACCCUACGUGA
rnacentral:rRNA from 1 species